UUGACGGGACCGCACAAGCGGUGGAUGAUGUGGUUAAUUCGAUGCAACGCGAAAACCUUACCCACCUUUGACAUGGCAGGAAGUUUCCAGAGAUGGAUUCGUGCUCGAAAGAGAACCUGCACACAGGUGCUGCAUGGCUGUCGUCAGCUCGUGUCGUGAGAUGUUGGGUUAAGUCCCGCAACGAGCGCAACCCUUGCCAUCAGUUGCUACGAAAGGGCACUCUGAUGGGACUGCCGGUGACAAACCGGAGGAAGGUGGGGAUGACGUCAAGUCCUCAUGGCCCUUAUAGGUGGGGCUACACACGUCAUACAAUGGCCGGUACAAAGGGCAGCAAACCCGCGAGGGGGAGCCAAUCCAUCAAAGCCGGUCGUAGUCCGGAUCGCAGUCUGCAACUCGACUGCGUGAAGUCGGAAUCGCUAGUAAUCGUGGAUCAGCAUGUCACGGUGAAUACGUUCCCGGGUCUU
rnacentral:rRNA from 1 species